rnacentral:rRNA from 1 species
UACGGAGGGCGCCAGCGUUGUUCGGAAUUACUGGGCGUAAAGUGCGUGUAGGCGGUCUGGUAAGUCGGUUGUGAAAUCCCCGGGCUCAACCCGGGAACUGCAUCCGAAACUGCUGGGCUAGAGUUCCGGAGAGGAAGGCAGAAUUCCCAAUGUAGGGGUGAAAUCCGUAGAUAUUGGGACGAAUACCAGUGGCGAAGGCGGCCUUCUGGACGGUGACUGACGCUGAGACGCGAACGCGUGGGGAGCAAUCAGG